UAUUUAAGGAUUGUGAUUUGUAUUGGAUUUUGUUGAUGAUUAUGAAACCUGAGUGCUGAAUUGUGUUUGUAACCAAACUUGUUUUAAGUUGGAUUUGUGUGAAAACAUUAGUCCCUUCAGGAGGUUCGAGAAGUCUCUAAGAGGCCGCGAUGUUGAACAAUGGAUGAGCCGUCGCCGCUUACCUAAAGAUCUUCGAAGGUUCUAAAUUCUUUCUCUUUCUUUCUGAUGAUCAUUGUUGAUUAUCUGUAUGAGCGUUGUCUUCUUCGAAUAACUUGAAAAAUUGCCGAAAAAUUGUGACUCGGGCUAUUAAGUGAACAACGGAGAAGUAAUGAACAUCUUAUCUUUAACAGCUCCGAAUUUUUCAACUUUCAUGCCAAUAUACUAUUUAAUUUGUGGCUUCAUAUUUCAAAUUUAUGAGAUCCCUGAGUAGAAACUCAUCAAUAUGAACAUUAAUUUGUUGAGAUGAAGUCCCUGUUGUGUAUUUGGAUGAGCUUUUUCCAAUAGUCUUAUUGUCAUUUCCAUUUUUGAGAACCUUUGUUGUUGUUGUUGUCGUCGUCUUCUUUUUGUUAUUUUUAUUUCUUUUAAGGUUUAGUUUACAUUUUCUUUGAAAUUUAAAAGUUGUUUGCUGAAGAUUCAUGCCCUCUUAAACUUGACAAAGCCAAAAAAAAGAUUGGGGGCUGAUGACUACAGAAAAGCCAUGAUUUGUAUGAACAAAAUUAUUAUGCUAAUUAAGUUAUUUCUUCUCCAUUGUAAAUAUAUAACUGCAGGAGUUG
rnacentral:lncRNA from 1 species